rnacentral:rRNA from 1 species
GACAGAGGAUGCAAGCGUUAUCCGGAAUGAUUGGGCGUAAAGCGUGCGCAGGCGGUUUUGUAAGUCUGAUGUGAAAUCCCCGGGCUCAACCUGGGAAUUGCAUUGGAGACUGCAAGGCUAGAAUCUGGCAGAGGGGGGUAGAAUUCCACGUGUAGCAGUGAAAUGCGUAGAGAUGUGGAGGAACACCGAUGGCGAAGGCAGCCCCCUGGGUCAAGAUUGACGCUCAUGCACGAAAGGCGUGGGGAGCAAACAG